rnacentral:rRNA from 1 species
GUAGGACCACCAGUGGCGAAAGCGUCAGACUGGAACGCGCCUGACGGUGAGGGACGAAAGCCAGGGGAGCGAACCGGAUUAGAUACCCGGGUAGUCCUGGCCGUAAACGAUGCAUACUAGGCAAUGGUGCGGCUAUGAGCCGCAUCAGUACCGUAGGGAAACCGUUAAGUGUGCCGCCUGGGAAGUACGGUCGCAAGGCUAAAACUUAAAGGAAUUGGCGGGGGAGCACCACAAGGGGUGAAGCCUGCGGUUCAAUUGGACUCAACGCCGGGAAACUUACCAGGGGAGACAGCAGAAUGACAGUCAGGUUGACGACCUUACUCGACGAGCUGAGAGGAGGUGCAUGGCCGUCGCCAGUUCGUGCUGUGAGGUAUCCUGUUAAGUCAGGCAACGAACGAGAUCCGCGCCUUUAUUUGCCAUCAAGAAGUCACGACUUUGUUGGGAACACUAAAGGGACCGCCGUCGAUAAGACGGAGGAAGGAGCGGGCAAAGGCAGGUCAGUAUGCCCCGAAACCCCUGGGCUACACGCGGGCUGCAAUGGUGCGAACAAUGGGCUGUAACUCCGAAAGGAGAAACCAAUCCCGAAAUCGCAUCUCAGUGGGGAUUGUCGACUAUAACUCGUUUGACAUGAACGUGGAAUCCCUAGUAAUCGCGUGUCACCAUCGCGCGGUGAAUACGUCUCUGCUCCUUGCACUCACCGCCCG